rnacentral:rRNA from 1 species
CUGGGAUUAGAUACCCUGUUAUUUAAAAUGUAAUUAUAAAGAUUAAGGUAGUAUUAGAUAUGUUCUUUAAACUUAAAAAAUUUGGCGGUAUUUUAGUCUAUUCAGAGGAACCUGUUUUGUAAUCGAUAAUCCACGAUGGACCUUACUUAAGUUUGUUAAUCAGUUUAUAUACCGUUGUUAUUAGAAUAUUUUAUAAGAAUGUUAAUUUUCAUAAUUUUUAUAUAAAAAGUAUAUCAAAUCAAGGUGUAGCUUAUAUUUAAGUAUAAAUGGGUUACAAUAAAUUUAUUUAAGCGGAUAUAAAUUUGAAAUAUUUAUUAAAGAUGGAUUUGAUAGUAAAAUUAUAAAGAUAAAUAAUUUGAUUUUAGCUCUAAAAUAUGCACAAAUCGCCCGUCACUCUCUGA